rnacentral:rRNA from 1 species
AUUGAACGCUGGCGGCAGGCCUAACACAUGCAAGUCGAACGGUAACAGGAAGAAGCUUGCUUCUUUGCUGACGAGUGGCGGACGGGUGAGUAAUGUCUGGGAAACUGCCUGAUGGAGGGGGAUAACUACUGGAAACGGUAGCUAAUACCGCAUAACGUCGCAAGACCAAAGAGGGGGACCUUCGGGCCUCUUGCCAUCGGAUGUGCCCAGAUGGGAUUAGCUAGUAGGUGGGGUAACGGCUCACCUAGGCGACGAUCCCUAGCUGGUCUGAGAGGAUGACCAGCCACACUGGAACUGAGACACGGUCCAGACUCCUACGGGAGGCAGCAGUGGGGAAUAUUGCACAAUGGGCGCAAGCCUGAUGCAGCCAUGCCGCGUGUAUGAAGAAGGCCUUCGGGUUGUAAAGUACUUUCAGCGGGGAGGAAGGGAGUAAAGUUAAUACCUUUGCUCAUUGACGUUACCCGCAGAAGAAGCACCGGCUAACUCCGUGCCAGCCGCCGCCGUAAUAC